rnacentral:rRNA from 1 species
GUUAGGAAUAUUGGACAAUGGGCGCAAGCCUGAUCCAGCCAUGCCGCGUGAGUGAUGAAAGCCUUCGGGUUGUAAAGCUCUUUAGUCCACGAAUAUAAUGACUGUAGUGGAAGAAUAAGCCCCGGCUAACUUCGUGCCAGCAGCCGCGGUAAUACGAAGGGGGCGAGCGUUAUUCGGAAUCACUGGGCGUAAAGCGUGCGUAGGCUGUUUUGUAAGUCAGAAGUGAAAGCCCAGGGCUUAACCCUGGAAUUGCUUUUGAAACUACAAGACUCGAAUUCGGGAGAGGAUAGCGGAAUUGUCAGUGUAGCAGUGAAAUGCGUAGAUAUUGACAGGAACACCAGUGGCGCAAGCGGCUAUCUGGACCGAUAUUGACGCUGAGGCACGAAAGCGUGGGGAGCAAACAGGAUUAGAAACCCCGGUAGUCC